CUAUACAUGCAGUCGAGCGAACAGAAGGGAGCUUGCUCCCGGAUGUUAGCGGCGGACGGGUGAGUAACACGUGGGUAACCUGCCUGUAAGACUGGGAUAACUCCGGGAAACCGGAGCUAAUACCGGAUAGUUCCUUGAACCGCAUGGUUCAAGGAUGAAAGACGGUUUCGGCUGUCACUUACAGAUGGACCCGCGGCGCAUUAGCUAGUUGGUGGGGUAAUGGCUCACCAAGGCGACGAUGCGUAGCCGACCUGAGAGGGUGAUCGGCCACACUGGGACUAGACACGGCCCAGACUCCUACGGGAGGCAGCAGUAGGGAAUCUUCCGCAAUGGACGAAAGUCUGACGGAGCAACGCCGCGUGAGUGAUGAAGGUUUUCGGAUCGUAAAGCUCUGUUGUUAGGGAAGAACAAGUGCGAGAGUAACUGCUCGCACCUUGACGGUACCUAACCAGAAAGCCACGGCUAACUACGUGCCAGCAGCCGCGGUAAUACGUAGGUGGCAAGCGUUGUCCGGAAUUAUUGGGCGUAAAGGGCUCGCAGGCGGUUUCUUAAGUCUGAUGUGAAAGCCCCCGGCUCAACCGGGGAGGGUCAUUGGAAACUGGGAAACUUGAGUGCAGAAGAGGAGAGUGGAAUUCCACGUGUAGCGGUGAAAUGCGUAGAGAUGUGGAGGAACACCAGUGGCGAAGGCGACUCUCUGGUCUGUAACUGACGCUGAGGAGCGAAAGCGUGGGGAGCGAACAGGAUUAGAUACCCUGGUAGUCCACGCCGUAAACGAUGAGUGCUAAGUGUUAGGGGGUUUCCGCCCCUUAGUGCUGCAGCUAACGCAUUAAGCACUCCGCCUGGGGAGUACGGUCGCAAGACUGAAACUCAAAGGAAUUGACGGGGGCCCGCACAAGCGGUGGAGCAUGUGGUUUAAUUCGAAGCAACGCGAAGAACCUUACCAGGUCUUGACAUCCUCUGACAACCCUAGAGAUAGGGCUUUCCCUUCGGGGACAGAGUGACAGGUGGUGCAUGGUUGUCGUCACGUGUCGUGAGAUGUUGGGUUAAGUCCCGCAACGAGCGCAACCCUUGAUCUUAGUUGCCAGCAUUUAGUUGGGCACUCUAAGGUGACUGCCGGUGACAAACCGGAGGAAGGUGGGGAUGACGUCAAAUCAUCAUGCCCCUUAUGACCUGGGCUACACACGUGCUACAAUGGACAGAACAAAGGGCUGCGAGACCGCAAGGUUUAGCCAAUCCCAUAAAUCUGUUCUCAGUUCGGAUCGCAGUCUGCAACUCGACUGCGUGAAGCUGGAAUCGCUAGUAAUCGCGGAUCAGCAUGCCGCGGUGAAUACGUUCCCGGGCCUUGUACACACCGCCCGUCACACCACGAGAGUUUGCAACACCCGAAGUCGGUGAGGUAACCUUUAUGGAGCCAGCCGCCGAAG
rnacentral:rRNA from 1 species